GUUUUCCUUCGCUACAGACAUAGCGCGCGGCGUGGCAUACCUCCACCAACACAAGAUCUGUCACGGCCGACUGAAGUCUGUAAACUGCGUGAUCGACGACCGCUGGGUCUGCAAAAUCACAGAUUUCGGGUUGAGGAUGUAUCGCAGGCACGAGGGGGCGGAGCCUCUUUCGUCCUAUCAGCAGAGACUUCAGGAGGUCUACAUGCCGCCCGAGUUUCAUAACUCCAGCAUGGAGCCCACGCUCGCUGCAGACGUGUUCAGUUACUCCAUCGUUCUGCUGGAGAUCGCCACUCGCAGCGACCCGGUUCCAGU